AUUGAACGCUGGCGGCAGGCCUAACACAUGCAAGUCGAGCGGAGCGGCGGACGGGUGAGUAAUGUCUGGGAACCUGCCUGAUGGAGGGGGAUAACUACUGGAAACGGUAGCUAAUACCGCAUACUAUCAGAUGAGCCUAGGUCGGAUGAGCUAGUUGGUGGGGUAAAGGCCUACCAAGGCGACGAUCCGUAACUGGUCUGAGAGGAUGAUCAGUCACACUGGAACUGAGACACGGUCCAGACUCCUACGGGAGGCAGCAGUGGGGAAUAUUCGACAAGGGGCGAAAGCCUGAUCCAGCCAUGCCGCGUGUGUGAAGAAGGUCUUCGGAUUGUAAAGCACUGUAAGUUGGGAGGCGUUACCAACAGAAUAAGCACCGGCUAACUUCGUGCCAGCAGCCGCGGUAAUAC
rnacentral:rRNA from 1 species